rnacentral:rRNA from 1 species
GACGAACGCUGGCGGCGUGCUUAACACAUGCAAGUCGAGCGGAGCGGCGAACGGGUGAGUAACGCGUGAGUAACUGCCCCCCUCUCUGGGAUAACAGUUGGAACCGGCUGCUAAUACCGGAUAGUGGGGGAUGACUCGCGUCCUAUCAGCUUGGUGGUGGGGUAGUGGCAUACCAAGGCGACGACGGGUAGCCGGCCUGAGAGGGCGACCGGCCAAAGUGGGCUGAGAUACUGCCCAGACUCCGACGGGAGGCAGCAGUGGGGGAUAGUGCACAAUGGGCGAAAGUCUGAUGCAGCGACGCCGCGUGGGGGAUGAAGGCUUUCGGGUUGUAAACCUCUUUCAGCCAUGACGCGGUAGUGGCAGAAGAAGCACCGGCUAACUACGUGCCAGCCGCCGCGGUAAUAC